GUGCAGGCACUCGAGUUGGGACUUACAAGACAGCCUUCCUAUUUCUCAGGAAAAUCAGCGCGGGUUUGGGGGAUGCGAAGGGACUCCGGGAGGAGCGGGGCCGAGGGCCGAGAGUGACCCUCGGCGAAAGCGCCCCAGAGCGAUCGUCCGGGUCCGACUCUUCCUCCCUUUUCCCGCAGCAGAUUCCGGUGGGAUCAUGGACAAGAGCGUCAGCUGUGGUUUGGGAGGCCGGAUGGGGCGGGAGAGGCGGGAAGGGACCUGACAGUGGGCCCGCGAUGCCGGGUCCCUUCCUGUGGGUGUCCGCACGUCGCAUGGCCGUCUCGCCGCCGAUGCGGGGCUGAAAGCGCCCCCGCGCCCCGGGUUUUGACCCCGACCCUUCGCAGCGCAGCGCCGGGCCGGGCCGGGAGCGCGCGGUCCCGGCGCGGAGCAAGGACUGCAAUCCCGCUCUGCGCCACACGAGGGCUCCGCCAGGCACCUGCCGGUCACCCGGGCGCUGUCUGCACCGAGCUCUCUUUUCUGCGAUGCUUUGAGUCUCCGAACAAAUCCUAACCGGAGGAGCUGGGCUCCCGGGACGCACAUUUCUGCACUGUUCCUCUGCCGCCUUGAGGUUACUUGGCCGCACUCAGGUCCUUGGCCCGGCGCUUCUUAAACUACCGCGUACACGCGGAUUGCCCUGCCCCGGUUAAAAUGCAGAUCCGGACGCAGCGGGUCUGGGCUGGGGCCUGGGACACGCAUUCCCAGCCAGCCGGGUGAUACCGAAGUUCAACCAGGUUUGGAGUCCAACACUGUGGACAAAGGGGUUGCAAACCCAGGAGGGGCUGUGCCCGGACUCGCAGGAGCGCGAGUGGCCGUCGCCCGGGCAGCCGUGGGCAGGGCCUGGGCGCCCCACCGAGCCCCCGCCAGCCACAUGGGUCCCUUCCACCCACCCCACGGCUGACCUUCACCUUUCCGAAAUAUCUUAGGGAGUCGACCCACAGCGACGUUACGUCCCGGCCCCUGCGUGCCCACUGCACUGGCAGAAUGAUGAGUCCCAUCCGAGGGGGCUGAGGCUCAGGACGAGGAGAAGGCGCUAACUUGUUUUUACCCAGAUGAUCUUUCUGGGGAUGUUUGCCUAGCAGGCGACCUUGGAAGGAACUUCUAGGCGUGUCUCUGCUCGCAGGACAGAAAGGUACCUCCUUCCACAACAGACACUGGCGCUUUGCCAGUGGUCCCUUUAACAGACUGCGGUCUCCUAAGCGCGGGGUUCCUCAGCUGUGACUCGGAUCUGUGUACACACCUCCCACCUGCCGGUCGUAGGGAGGGGAACAGGGCCACCGCCUCCGUCCUGAAGCUCGCUCCCCUUCCGUGCUGUGAGGAUCCGUGCAAUGGUCGCAGCCCGGUUGGCUCACACUCGGAGUGGAACUUGGGACUCUUCAGUUCUUGCCAGCAGGGUUUCUGGGGCGGAAGGAGAGAACUGAGCCCAGGAUCCUGGGAGGCAUUGACCUUGGGCUAGGAAUGAACUACCAAGUCUACCAAGCGGUGUAAGCUUCAGGCUCCACAAAAUCUGCAUCUACCCCAGGCCCAAGCCACAUGGGGUCAUACGACUUGGGAUGAAAGUCUUGCCCAAGGAAAAGGGAGAGAUCCCAACUCUUAGGGCAGAGAAGGUGAGCUGGUCCCAGCACCCGGAAGGAAGCUCCCCCACCGCCAUACCAAGCUCCUAAGGCAGAGAAGCUGAGCCAGUCCCAGUACCUGGAAGGAAGCUCCCCCACCGCCAUCCCAAGGAAAAGGGAGAGUACGUUUGUUUCUCUCUGGCUUGGAUGGUCCCUGGUAUCUAUUUCAACUGAGGGUGGGUCUAUUUCCUCCGUGAUAAAGGCUCACUUACAUCAGGCAGGGGAGGGACCAUGAGCCAUCCCAGUACCUGAACUGUGACACAUUAGCAUUUGUGUGUACACAGGGUCUGCCACUGGUCUGGGGACAUCUUGCAGGAUAAGGGUCUCACAGGAAUCUGAGCCAUGGAAUGCCUGUCGCCAGAUAUCCAGCUCAGUGUCUGGUCCAUGCAGAUAGAAGUUGUCAAUCAGCAUUGCAAUGGGAAAAGGUCUUUUGCCACAAUACUUACCUCAGUCACCUAGAAAAAUACCCCACAUCUCAGAAUUACAAACUUACUCUUGGGGAUCUUGAAAAUUUCUAGGAGUUUGACACUACUUAUUAAAAUACAGAUUCCUUGGGAGAAAAGUUACAAUUGAUUGUAUAUUCACAAUUUUUACAAGAUGAAUAUGUAAGUGCUUCCCACUGUGUGAUAUUUACCAUACAAGUUCCCCCACCUCUCUCCAGCGAGAGAGCCAGGGCCAGGCUGCAGGUUGCAUGUGGUUGGGGAUUUGGGUGGGUGCUGGUUGUACAGGUUCGGUCUUAGGUUGAGAUCCCAAAGGCAGCUUUCCUCCUCUGCUGCUUACCUAGUUCCAAACACAGAAGAUACUGGGACAUAAGCGUUGGGUCACCGUUAGGACAUUUAGAGGAAGACCCAUAGAAGCAGCUUUGAAUCACUAAAAAUAUCAAUGUGGACAAGAUGGAGCUACAGUUAGGAAUGGCUGGGUUUCUUCCUCAGCCUUUCAGGCAGCUGUUUGGUUUCUGCUGCAUGACUGAUGAGUGCUCAUAACAUCUGAGUUGCCACAGUGAGUGUUUUCUGUGGCAGUAGGGGAAGGGACCACCAGAAUUAUUCUGCUGUACGUUAGGCCACAGUCUCUGGGUUUACUGAGGCAGUAUUUCCUACACAUGUUCCCGUGCUUUUAAAUUAUUUAUUUUUUAUUAUUCAGGUAGAUAUUUUUGUACCCCCAGAAGUUCCAUCAGAAGCUGUUUUCCUGGCUUUUCUUCUUUUCCCCCACUGUCCUGGCAUGGAUCCGGGGCAGCAGGGCCAGGCAGUGGCAUAGGUAAUAAGGGGUCCAGAGAGAGGGAAGCUCCCCUUUGUCAUUGUGUGGUCUCCCAUGUCUGUAAAGACAGUGCUAAUUUCCAUCCGUGUUGGGUUAGGAAGCAACAACUGUAAAAAUUCACUUAUAAUAAGCACCCCAAGGAUUAAAUGAAAGAUGUAGUAGUAGUAAUAAGACCCUCUCAAGUUGGAAUUUUCUCAGUAGCCACUAUUUUUUCCUUCUGAACAAUACACAAAUGUAUACUUUAAAAAAAUCUUUACUAAUAUAUUUUAUAUGUGAGUUGUUUGCAGUUACUGUGGAGAAGUAGAGGCUCUUAGUACAAUUCUUGUCACUCAGACAAUUUCAAAUGAUUCCUCAGCUGUUGUCCCUGGGCUACCUAUUAAUUCUAAGUCUCCCAGCUUCUUUUCUGGGUGUACCCAGCCAUCCCCUACACCUCAUCCGAAGUAGAAUAAUGGGAAGCUCUCUGCUUAAAACCCUCAGAGAGCUUCCUAAUGGAUACCUCUGGGUGAGAGCCUAGUCUAGUAACAGGAGAAAGGACCCCGUCUGUUGCUCCUCUGGGUCCUGCUCAUGCUUCAGGCUGGCUCAGUAAGCCCCUCUGAUCCACACCUUCUACAGACCUGUAGCUCCCACGCAGCCAAGCUACUGCCUGAUUCAUGUUUCUGUACAUAUUGCUCUAUUCCUGGAAUAUAUAUCUCUUCUGGGAUCUGCCUGACACACUCUACUUUUUUGGCUCUAAUAUUUAGAUGUUCACUUGAGAAUAAAGAACAAUAUUGUACAGUACUUCGUAUGCUCAGAAUUCAUUUAAACAGUAGCACAUUUUAUUUUAAUCCUUUGUAAAAAGAAAGAAAACAUUUCAAAUAGAGCUGGUAUCACCCAUAUACUCCUUUCCGAUCUUAUCCCCCUGCCUGAGAGAACCACUGCCAUGAGUUUAUAUUUAUUUUAUACUUUUAAUGUUUUAAAUAUUUUUAUUAUGCAUAUAUUCAUAGCAUUGUAUAACAUUUAUUUGCAAGUUUAAAAAUCUGAUGAGCAUGCACCAUGUAUUUGUAACUUUGCAGCUUGUUUCUUUGUUGUAGGCAUACUCUUGGUAUAAUAUAGUACUUUAUUAUACAAAUAAAUAACUCAUC
rnacentral:lncRNA from 1 species